UGCAAGUCGAACGGUGAAGAAGAGCUUGCUCUUUGGAUCAGUGGCGAACGGGUGAGUAACACGUGAGCAAUCUGCCCCUGACUCUGGGAUAAGCGCUGGAAACGGCGUCUAAUACCGGAUAUGAACUGCGAAGGCAUCUUCAGUAGUUGGAAAGAAUUUCGGUCAGGGAUGAGCUCGCGGCCUAUCAGCUUGUUGGUGAGGUAAUGGCUCACCAAGGCGUCGACGGGUAGCCGGCCUGAGAGGGUGACCGGCCACACUGGGACUGAGACACGGCCCAGACUCCUACGGGAGGCAGCAGUGGGGAAUAUUGCACAAUGGGCGCAAGCCUGAUGCAGCAACGCCGCGUGAGGGAUGACGGCCUUCGGGUUGUAAACCUCUUUUAGCAAGGAAGAAGCGAAAGUGACGGUACUUGCAGAAAAAGCGCCGGCUAACUACGUGCCAGCAGCCGCGGUAAUACGUAGGGCGCAAGCGUUAUCCGGAAUUAUUGGGCGUAAAGAGCUCGUAGGCGGUUUGUCGCGUCUGCUGUGAAAACUGGAGGCUCAACCUCCAGCCUGCAGUGGGUACGGGCAGACUAGAGUGCGGUAGGGGAGAUUGGAAUUCCUGGUGUAGCGGUGGAAUGCGCAGAUAUCAGGAGGAACACCGAUGGCGAAGGCAGAUCUCUGGGCCGUAACUGACGCUGAGGAGCGAAAGGGUGGGGAGCAAACAGGCUUAGAUACCCUGGUAGUCCACCCCGUAAACGUUGGGAACUAGUUGUGGGGUCCAUUCCACGGAUUCCGUGACGCAGCUAACGCAUUAAGUUCCCCGCCUGGGGAGUACGGCCGCAAGGCUAAAACUCA
rnacentral:rRNA from 1 species